GACAGAGGUGCCGAGCGUUAGGCGGAAUCACUGGGCUUAAAGCGUGUGUAGGCGGAUCUGUAAGUAUCUUGUGAAAUCCCACGGCUCAACCGUGGAACUGCUUGGUAUACUGCGGAUCUUGAGCCACCUAGGGGCGAGCGGAACAAGUGGUGGAGCGGUGAAAUGCGUAGAUAUCACUUGGAACGCCAAUGGUGAAAACAGCUCGCUGGGGGUGUGCUGACGCUGAGACACGAAAGCCAGGGGAGCAAACGGG
rnacentral:rRNA from 1 species